GUCUGUUGGGGGCGGGCAGAGGCGUCGGCGCUGCCCCGGCGAGGGGCCGAGCCGGCGGGGCGCGCAGAAGCCGGCCCGAGCCCGGGCCCGAGCGCGGCUCCGCUCGGCUCCUCUGCGGCUCCCGCCGGGCCCUUCAGCCCCGGCCGGCCCCGGCGCGGCAGGGCACGAUGGCGCCCGGGCUGGGGCCGUGGCUCCUGGCCUUGUCCUUGGCCGCGGGGCCGGCAGGGCUGUGGGCGCAGCUGAGGCUGGUGGAGGACGGCGGAGGGCUGCGAGCGCCCGGGGACACCGUGCGCCUCUCCUGCCGCGGAUCCGGCUUCAACUUCGGGAAUUCCACAGUUUGGUGGUACCGUCAGGCAGCCGGCGGCAGUCUCGAGUGGGUGUCCUACAUCAGCGCUGAUUCCUCAGUGAUUCAAUUGGGGCAGUCAGUGAAGGGUCGAGCUACAGUGUCCCGGAACAGUUCCCGGUCCGUGUCAUCUCUGUCCCUGCGGGACCUGCAGCCCCGGGACUCUGCCCGCUACUUCUGUGCUGUUGCACGGGGACAGGAAAUCCAGCUGAGCUUUAACACAAACCUGCUGGGCCACAAUGUCAGAGCUGUGGGGCAAGGGGCUGCUUGGGGUGGGGGCCUCAGGGUGGUUCCCAGGCAGUGAAGUUCCAUCACUCUACACCGCAGGAGUUCCUGGCCUUUCCUGCACACUGCGGGAAUUGUAACUUAUGGUAAAUUAAAACAGAGUAGGAUUGUGAUCAACAAAAAAACUGGAAACACCUUCCCCUACACCUCCCACUUUCCUCCCUUGCUCAGCUUCAUACCUUCAUUCCCAAUUCCUCUACCUCCUCUGCCCAAGUGGCCCAUGGGUGAUGGGGUUUGAGGUGAAAUCAUAACACUUCAUCUCUACUGCUCCUUCCUCCCUCCCAUGGUCUGCAGUCCUUCACAAAUGGCUCCGGGAUGGUUCCUUUUGGAGGGCUGCAGUCCUUCAGGAUAAACAUGCUCCAGCAUCAGCUGUCCACAGGCCCCAGUUCCUGUCAGGGCACACUCAUGUACCCUGCCAUGUGAUCCUACACAGGCUGCAGGGAAACAACUGUCCCACUGUGGUGUCUUCCAUGGGCUGCAGGGGAAUCUCUGCUCUGGUGUCUGGAGCACCUCCUCCCCCUCCUUGUUGUCCCAUAGGCAAUGCCUGCUUUGCUGAUGAGCUCAGCUUUGGCCUGUGGCAGGUAUUAUCCUGAGCUGGCUGGAACGGGCUGUGCUGGACACGAGGCAGUCCC